UACGAAGGGGGCUAGCGUUGCUCGGAAUCACUGGGCGUAAAGCGCACGUAGGCGGCUUCUUAAGUCAGGGGUGAAAUCCUGGAGCUCAACUCCAGAACUGCCUUUGAUACUGAGGAGCUUGGAGUCCGGGAGAGGUGAGUGGAACUGCGAGUGUAGAGGUGAAAUUCGUAGAUAUUCGCAAGAACACCAGUGGCGAAGGCGGCUCACUGGCCCGGUACUGACGCUGAGGUGCGGAAAGCGUGGGGAGCAAACAGGG
rnacentral:rRNA from 1 species